ACCAAUGAUAGACAAAGGCACAGAAGAAGGGCACCUGCUGCCCAGAAACUUCUCUAAUUAAACAAAAAAGACUGACUGGGAGAAAAAGGUGACAGAAAAAGAAGAAAUUGAAGUGGGGAAUUCUUUCCCACUUAUAUGGUUGGUCCAAGAAAGAUGACCCUAAAAUCACCUUGAUCCUAUGCAUAUUGCCCAAACCAUUAUCACUACAACAAUACUCCAACCCUACUGGGAGGAAGGAUAUAGCUUUUAUUCAAAUGAGACAGACAUAGCCAAUCAUGGAGCAAAGCUGUCGAUGCUAGGAGACAAUGGCCAGGUGGUUGCUUAGUGCAAGGUGAUUGUGAUCCAGUUACAUUCCAUACUGCCAAAGAGGAGAGAUUAAACCUGUAAUUAUAUGGCCAUGACAUCACAUCACAUGAUCAGUGUUUUUAAUCAUCUAAUCCCCCCAAAUUAAAGAUAAUGAGUAAUACAACUGAUAGGAGGAAAACAUUACAAAAAAAAAUACAAAUGGAAGUGGAGAAUCCUAGGGGAAUAGUUCAUCAUUUGGCCAAAGGGCCAUGACUCCACAUUCAAGAAAGAGAAACCUUUGUUUCUAAGCCCCUCUGCAUUCAGUAAGUAAGGGAAGGCAGCAAAUAAGGACCAAGCAGCAGUACCAAACAAGGAGAAAAAGGAGCAAUAAAUGGCACUUGGUAGAAAUUAGGAAGAGUGGGUUCUGCCAUCUGAGUUGACUCAGGAACUGACAACAACAACAAUGGGUUGUCCACUUCUCUGUCCACCAAUCUAGAGAGGAGCAGGGGGGGCACACUUUACAAGUAAAGCUCACAGACAUUUGCUGACAACAGAAGAGUGGGGAGACUCAUGGAUAUUCCCAGGAUCUGGACAGGGGUCUAUCCCAGGAUUUGGACAGGGAUGCAUUCUAGUGACCCUAGGGCCCUGUGCCCAUUCUCUCUCCCCAACAAGCCUGACCUCUGCUUUUAGGUCUUCUCCAACUUGGCCUUGUCCCAGUUCCAUUUUCCGUCAUUCUUGACUCCUUGCUAAGCAUCCAAGCACUCAGUUGGAUAUCUAACAUCCCAUUGCAAGGCCUUAUUAGAAAAUGCGUGGAGAAGGUGACUUAGAACAUUUCAUAGAGAAGAGAGAUAUGGAGCAUGGUCCCCUUCCUGGCUCCUAAGGGAAAGGUACAUCCUUCCGCUCUCAUUGUGCCUUUGAAAAGACAGGACAUGGCCUGUGUUAAUUCAUCAGCAGUACACUCCACUGAAACAGUUUGCAAACCUCCAAGUUAUACCUCACAGCUUCUUGGAAUCUGUUAAAAAAUGCUACAUUCGCUUUAGCAAAAAGACAUGCAGGUAAAGGAGGGGGUGGAGCAGAAAUUGAUUGCACCACAGGUGAUAUUAACCAACUGUUUACAUGUUUCUCAGGAGAUUUAGCCAGGGUUUACAUGGACCAGAAAAAACUCAAAAGCUUUUUAGAAGAAAAAUUUCAGAUGGAUGGACAGAGAAAGCGACAGAGCAAAAAGCAACAUAUGCUUCAUAAAGCAAUGGAGGUUAGAAACAAAGCCACAGUACAAUUUAUAUAUAUCAUAUAUACCUUAAUGAGGUAAUCAGUAAAUGGCUAGGGUCAAUAGUAGCCAAUGGAUUUUUUGGCAAUUCUAUUUAGAAUUUCAUAAAGAAGUUGAGGACUAUAGCCCCAAUCAAAUAACAUGCACAUGCUUUAUUUCAAGAAUGUCUAUGAUCCCAGGGAGCUUGAUAGACUGCUCCCAUGAUUGUUUCUUAGCAAGUUGCAUUAGUGUUUGCAGGAUCAGUGUACAACACAGAAGGAAACUGGACCCUGUCAGUUUUUAAAUUUGAUGUGCAAAGUUCUAUAAUCCUUGACCGUCCUAAUCUCCAGGUAUGGUCUCCACUGUUGUAUCUGUCUUUUCACCAUCUUUCCAUUAAAAUGGUUAUGUACCUCAGGCAAAACUCUGGCUACACCAAAGUCAAUGUCAAGACUCCCAUUUAAUUCAGUAGGGCCAACCUUUUAUCCUCAGUCACCCCCAGAGUUGGGUUUUUAUAGCAGAAUCUGGGACACAGACUCCUAGACCUGCAAGCAGUUUACACUCAACAUAUAGGACUGUCCUAGAACUGAUUGUUUUUCAUGCCAGGUAAUCAGCAGCCUAGAUUUGUGCCAGUUGCUAAUAAAGGCACAAACAAGAAAAGAUCAUCCUCUUGGGUAAGAAGUCAGGGCAUGGGGAGAUGUCAGAAGUGGAAGCUGAUGAUGUCAAAACUGAAAGAUAAAGUGCACCCUGCCAUGACAUGUAUUGUUGUGCAGGAGUCCUCAAAUGGCAUUGUUCCACACAAUCUUACACAUUUUUUUGGAAACAAGCGAGCAGGAUAUAAUGCUAGAAGAUGUGCUGUAUUGUGACUGGUUGUGUGACAGAUGCUCUUUUCUUAACACCAAGGGAAACAACAGGGUGACAAAACUAUAGAAGGCACUACAGCUCAGUGGCCACAGAUUAGUAGAAAGUAGCUUUGACCCAGUUCUGCUAUGUGUAAAAUGGGGUGGGGGACGGACUCUUUACCUUCUGCACUAGGGGCUAGGGUGUUAAUUAACAAAAGCCUGCACAGUCCUUGAAAAGCAUAAAAGCUCCACAGCAGACAGUGUUUAGAUGUCUCAUCCUGAGGAAGAGCAGGGAGCAACACUGCCCAGGGAGGACACAGCUUUUGAGUUUGGGUGCAAGAUGGAGAAAAUGUCUGCAAAUUAAUUGAUUCUUUUCAAGGAGAAGCAAGUUAGUUGAUAAAUUAAACUUUCUUGGUAGUGGUGAGACAGGCAUGUUAGAGACAGUCCCAAUGUCAGGCCUCAGCAUCUGUUCAAAUAUGGAACAUGGAAGUGAGAUUUCCUGACAUUUCCCAUUCAGCAUGUGACAGAGUCUCUGGACACAGGGUCUAUUGCACAGUGUGUGUCCAGAGGUGUAUCCAAUGCCUAGCCCCCAUGACACUUGUGAGAGGGUAAACUGGUAAAAUUAGGUCAUCUCUAGGCUCCUGCGUGGGAAUCCUGGUCCUGCUGAAAUCAGUGACAAACCUCCCCUGGGCUUCAAGAUGGUCAGAAUUUUCCUCCAUGGUCAUCAGACUGCAUCUCAGCCCUUCAGAAACAAACUCAAAGAGAAGCAAUGCUUCUCCUAGUUUGUCCUUCGCUGACCUUUCCUGAACUGGCUGUUUCUUUAUUUCCUAUAUUUAUUCUGUUAGAUUUAUAUCCCACCCUAUCCAAAAGGCUCUGGUGAUACAUGUCACUUUGCACGAGAGGCUCUUAUUGUUUGUCCUAAAAGUUUGAAUCACACCCAGGAGACAGCUGUUGCCAUGUACAGAAGGGAGAAUGAAGGAAUUCAUUAACACAUGUAUUGUCCUUUCUCAUUUGUUCCUGCUACAGAAAAACAAGACCAAAGAAAUGACUGAUGAAAUUACAAAUAUAAUGACCUGGUUUGUAGCUGAAGUAACAGACAUUAUAUACGCAGCAAUAGAUACAAUAUGAAGAGGAAAAAAUAGCUGAGAGAGACAUGAGAGAUGAGGAGGCCAAUGCCAGUAAGUUUGUCUUCACAGACAGAAAGAGAACACCCAGAAGAUCCCCAGGAUGUGUGAAGAGAGGGACUCUGGGGUUCAAACCUUCUACAUCCCCCCUGGACACACUAACUAAACCAAGGGCAGUCCGCUCCAGAGUAACUCUACCCCACAUUGGCAGGCAGCUUGCAAGAAAGCCCUUCUUUUCACCAUGUUGAAAGAUAUUUCCUGAAGAGGAAGUACCGCAUAAGGCAGUACAGGGAGCUCACAGCAAGCCCCUGCCAACAUAUGGAAUUGAGCCUCAGCCUUUGCAGUCACCAGCCAGUAUUUAUGCUGAUGCUUUUUUGAAAGAUGUGAUGAACUAAUGAGCAAACUGGUCCCUUCACAAAAUCUACAUGCUCAGGACUGUGCAAUCCUUGGAUGCGAUCUUUCAUGUAUCAGCACAAAUGUAGUUGAUUCAGUGCUAAAUAAGCUUUCCAUAUGUCAGGCCACAGACCUGCAGCCUUCUGAAGAUCAGUCUCUCCCCUCUGACAUAGACACAUUGACGGCCAAAAUUAUUCACUCCAGUUUAUCUGACCUUCUGCAAGAAAGUGCUUCCAAAGUCUCCGUUUAUGCAGACAUGAAAAGAAACAAGAGUACAUCAGCAGAGAGCUUAGGUAUUUUGAUAAGGAGAGAAAUUACUGAUUACCAACAGGAAGAACCCUUAGCAAAAGCACCCUCUUCAGCUCUGUAUAAACCUCUAGAACCUGGGAAAAUUGAUGAGAAGCUUUUAGAAGAUGCUACCAAAAGCAAUGCCCAAUGUCAAAGUCCCACACCAUCUACUCUGGGGGUAUGCCACAGAUUUUUGGAAGAUAUAAUCAGCAGGCUUUUAUCUAACAUUCUCCCUGCCACUGCCAGCACAUCUUCCGCUACAGAAAAGAAAAUGGAACUUGCAGAAUUUGACUUGACUCACAUGAAAGUAAUCAGUAAAGUUAUUGCAAAAAUCUCUGAAGAUGAGAACUCUUCUUGCCAGCAUAUCGAACAUCUGCAUUUCAGGGAGGAUGACAUGAUUCAUACAAUUGCUGAUUCAGUCUAUAACAAGCUUUUGACACAAUGUCAGUCUAAAUUCAACAUGUAGGAGUGUUUAAGAAGUGGGUGCAUGAUUAUUUCUGAAGCUCUUUGUGACUUGGUCUUCCAAGAGAUUUCUGGGAAUCCAUUUCAGAGCUCUCUUUUUGGAGAAUUACCACUUCACCACUGCGCUGAAGCUGACAAUAUUGUUGAAAAUACAUUAAGAGACAUUACUGAGCCUUCAGAUAACCCAAACCGUUUAUCAUCAGAACUUAGUAAAAUAGUUCCUCUUAUCAUACAAAAACUAACAGCAAAUCUUUUGUCAACAUUUUCUUCCCUCUUACCCAUUGCGGAUUUAGAUGCAGAAAAGACUUCAUUACUGAAUGAUGCAACUAGAAAAAUAUUACAUGCUUUGCAAGUACUCCUGUCAAAACAUCAGAUGAACAUGAAUGAACAUAUCAGUGAAAGAGAAUCUUUACACACUGAAGACAGCCAGUCUAUAGGAGACAAGUUAUUUCCAUAAAAACAGAACCUCUUGAGGAACUGCAAGAAGUAUUCAUUGCUCAGACUGGGGAUGGCCUAAGAGACCUAAGAGCAUUGCUGGCUGAGAAGUGUCUUGAAGAUGAAAGUUCAAGAUUUGAGGUACAGAGAGAAGAAGACAGUCAUUUAUCUCUGAGUAGCACAGGACAACCAGUUGUAAGACCAGGGGAGAUAAGUGGAAAGAAUAAGGCAGGGGCAAUCCUGUUUUGUGAAUGCCAUUUUGCUUCUAACUGAAUCUUUUGUUAAGAUGUUCAUGUGGCAUUGAAAGCCCAUCUACUGUAAAUGCUGAAUGCUCUUAUAAAGGUGGUGAACCAUCUCCUGGACAGCAUGCAGUGUGUCAUCAGUGUGGAGGACCCUCACUAGCUGGGAUUUUGGGCCUUCAGCAGGACCUAAUUCGGGAAGGUGAUGAAGCCUAUGUUGAAUAUUCUGCAAGCUCUUCAACCCAAGGUGGGCCUCCUUGCAUGACUGGCAGACCACCACACUGAGAAGGAGGAAGGAGAGGAGAAGGUAGAGGACAAGCUUGAAGCAGAGCAACAGUGGGAGGAAGAAGAGGAGCUGCAGCAGAUAGAGGAGAUCAUUCAAAUUGAAUCCUCUCUGUAUUUGGGGAGCCUGUUGACUUCAUCCAUACACAGUGAACAACUAAGUGAGAAUGUUGAAGAACCAUCACCAUCACUGGAAGCACAGAGAGCAAGUGAAUGAAGUUCUGCUGACACGUGCCAGGCCUGGGAUACAGAAGACUCUUCAUACACGUCUGAGGUCAAUAUUUUGUAAAACCUUCGGUAACAGAACCCCAGGAAGUUGGCCCACAAAAGUUGGAAACACUGUCUGAAGAUGCUGGAAAGAAAGAUCUUCCCAUACCAGAAGAAAUGGGGGUUGAUACAGACAGCAGCUGCUCCCAGUGUUCAAAAAAAUGGUCUUCCCUUUUUAACAAGAUACCGAAUGCUGUGUCCAGAAUGCACUCUCUCCUCUCAAGUUGCCUACUGCACCACAGGAAAUUUCGGAAAGUCUCACCUGAGAUUAUACCUACAUGUUAAAUUGGUUUAGGAAAAAUAUAAAUAGAGUUAAGAAAAAAUGUGGUCUGGUGGAGGCUGCUAAUUGUACUUCGUGAUCAUUUGCAACUUCAUUCUCAUAUAAUUAAACUCAACAAGGAGGGCAGACAGAGAAGGCAGACAGGAGACCUACUCCACAGUGGGGAGGAAGGCUCCUUUUAGGAUGCAUUAUUCGGGAGUUAAGGUGCCCUCCCAAGCAGUUGGCUGUGCCACAGGAGGGGUGUCGGAGAGAGAGGUCAGGAUCUGACCCAACCAGCAGGUAGUGCCACAAAGGGCCAGAGAACUCCUUGAGAUAACUUGGAGGUGCCACCUAGAAAGGGUGGGGAGUUAAAGCCAGCAGAUAAUGCCAUUUGGAGAUGGCAACAAUCUCCACCUGGAAUCACAGGGUAAUCAGAAGGCCCCUGGAAUCACGGACUGACUUGUUAUUCUCAGCACCAGGAGAGGGAACAAUUUUGCGAGUCUUUAUCUACAGUGACUGAGGUUUAACCCAAGCUCUCUAAGUAGAAGAGCAGAGUGGCACAGCUGUCUGAGGGGAGCAAACACCCAGGACUGAGGACCAGUGUGUCUUGUCCUGGCAGCAGUGAGAAGUGAAGGGUAUAUUAAUGUCCCAGACCCCUGCUCUCCGCCUAGGGAGCUCAGGGCCACCAGAGGAGCCUUCAGACUCACUCCUAUGAGGGCCUGAAUCAUCUCUGACCCAUCGCUAAUUUGUACUGCUUUUCCCUCAAGGGCUGGAAUUACUCUGGUGCUGGGGGAAGGGGUACUGCCAAGGUCACUGCUGCCCACCCCCAAAAUUCAAAGCUUCGGGGGAAGAGCCUCCAAGCUAGGACUGCCCCCCCCAAAUAAUGAAGAUGUCUUUAAUAUGGACUGCCUAUACAUAUGUUCAUUGGUGUUCUAAUUAGAAUGCAUUGCAGCAGAUGCGAUUAAUCGCAUCUGCUCCAUGUUCUAAUUAGAAAGUGGCAGCAAUGUCACAGCAUCACAUGUAUUAAGCCCCUGCACAUUUUAAAAUGGCCGCAGGGCGCUUUAACUAAACCUCAUUGACUGAAGUUUAGCUAAAGUGUCCCACAGCCAUUUUUAAACAUGCGGGGGCUGAAUACACAUGCUGUUGAGGCAUUUUAAUUAGAAUGGCUGCCCAGAAACCGCUCUAAUUAAAAUGUCCCAUGCUCCCCGCCCCCUCUGAGCAUGUAUAUAGGCAGCCAUGAUUUCUUUAAGCUCUUGCUUUUUGAACAUCCCCCUUCCAUAAGUGGGGACAGUUUCCAGGCUGCUGGCUGCCAUAUGGGCAGAACAGGAAACUCUGAUGCCUGGUCCCACCUGGCGUUUGCACUGCCUGUCUGUGGGCACAGCUUCUCCACAAUGAUGUUGUACUGUAAGCCACAGGCUGGGCUGCUGAGGCCUGUUCCAGUGAGUCCAGUUUCUGCUCUCUGCUGUUCCUCCUGCACCUGUAGCUUCAGGAGUGUUUCCCAUCCUUCCCCAGGCCAGGAAGGGGCUCCACUGAAACUCUCCUUACUUAUUCUCACACCUCUUAGCAAGAAUGGGCCUGCCUGACCUAGGGCUCACAGGAUGGGAAAAGAUGGGGGAGUGGUAUUGUCUGCAUUGGCAUUCUCCAUCGUCCUUCCAUGUGAGGCAUGUUGGGUUACCAGAGUGAGGAGGGAGAGCUGCUGCUUCCUGAGGAGCCGAGGGUUACCGUACAUCCGGGUUUACCCAGACAUAUCCUCUUUUUUGGCCCUCUGUCUUUGUGUCCAGGUGUGUUUUUAAAAUGUGAGCAAAUGUACAGGUUUUUGCUUUGCCUCUGCUUUUCCUGGGCAGAAGCAGCUUGGAUGUUUGGGGCUGGGAGCAGGGGGCAAGGUGAUUGGCUGUUGGGGUCACAUGCUCUGCAUGAGGGCCUGGCAAGAGUGUGUGUGCAUGUGCGCAUGUAGGAGCUGUGUGGCCAGCAGGUCUGGAGGGACAGGGGUCUCUGGGUCAGUAGUGAAGGGCACCACCAGUGCUGAGCGGCAGGGGGCUGCAGGUCAGGAGUGAGGGGCACUGGCAGGGUUGGGAGGGGCAGGGGCUUAGGAGUGAGGGGCAAAGGCA